CGGGGACAGAGCCGGGCGGCAGUUGAGGCCAUCCUGGCUAGAAAAUCCCAGAACCGUGGCUGGCGCAACCCUGACCACGCGGCCAGGCAGAGGUGAGUACGCGGCCGUCGGACGGGCGGGACAGGCGCUGAGGACUCCGAGAACCGUCGCGCGCUCUCACGUCCGCGUCCCCAAGGGCUGCGCUCAGCCGAGCGCAGUGCCCGGAGUUCGGAGCCAGCCUGGCCUGGGGUACCCUGCUGGCCGAGGAGGUCGUCAGUCCCGUCUUGUCUUCCAGACCCGGAGGACUAGGCUUCCCGACAAGGAACUGCCCAACAUGGCCUCGGAGAGCAGGAAGCUGUGAGGUAGCCAUUCUGUGAGCACAGUGGACUCCCUCAUGGAGAAGUUCAAUGCAUCCAUUGCCUAUGACUGGCACCUGUGGGAGGUGAAUAUUCAAGGCAGCAAAGCCUACAGCAGGAGCCUGGAGAAGGCAGGGCUCCUCACCAAGGCCGAGAUGGACUAGAUACUCCAUGGCCUAGACAAGAAUUGCUGCCACCUGCUAUAGGUGGCUGAGGAGUGGGCCCAGGGCACCUUCAAACUCAACCCCAAUGAUGAGGACAUCCACACAGCCAAGGAGCGCCACCUGAAGCCGAGUUCCUGUUCUGGGCUUCUCUGUGCAUGACCCAUCUCAGCAGGAUGGCCAAGCACCUCAUCAUCUAUGGCACCAAGGAAUGCAGCAUCGUGCAGCUCUCAGAUGCUACAGCACUGCAGCAGCCUGAUGCCCCAGAAGAAAAACCCUGACAGCUUGGAGCUGAUCCAGAGCAAGGCGGGGCAUGUGUUUGGGCAGUGUGCUGGGCUCCUGAUGACCCUCAAGAAACUUCCAGCACCUACAACAAAGACUUAAGGUGCGAAGCUGGGGGCGGUGGCCGAUGGAGGCCCACUGCCUACAUACCACAUGCCAGUUCUCGGGGCUCUGGCACACCCAGGCAGGGUCCCCCAGGAUUGCCAUACAUCCUCCCAUCCUGUGCACACAGCGCCAUCCGUGGCUGCCCUUGGAGCUUUCUGCCCUUCCUUUGUUGAGGUACUAAGUGUUCUUCCCAUGGAAGGCAGUGAGGAUGCCUCAUUGUGGGUGGGGCUGUGGGGACCCUGGGUGCCAAGGAGCUGCUAGGCCCUCACCUGCUGCCAUGUGCCUCCCAGGACAAGGAAGCUGUGUUUGACGUGUCAGACACCACGAGUGCCAUGUUCCAGGUGGCCACUGGCAUCAUCUCUACGCUGCAGGCAAGACACCACCCACCUGCCUCUCCUCCCCUAUGUCCCAGGCACUGGAGUGGGCAUGCCAGGAGGGUGGCCUUUGGAGGAGGCAAGGUGGGGCUGGAAGACCUGGGGCAGGGAAGGAGAGGUGUGCUCUCUCCUGCUCCUGGGGAACAGGAAAGGGACAGAAACUGCUGCCACACAAUAGAAGUAGAUAAGACUCAAGGGGCCUGGGGCUUAUCAACAGGCAUGACCAGAAUCCUUUUAAAAAAAGAAAAUUUAUAUAAAAGUCCAGCGUGGUGGCUCAUGCCUGGAAUCCCACGCUUUGGGAGGCCGAAGCAGGUUGAGCACUUGAAGUCAGGGAUUUGAGACCAGCCUGGCCAACGUGGUGUAACCAUAUCUCUACUAAAAAUACAAGAAUUAGCCGAGCAUGGUGGCCCACACCUGUAAUCCCAGCUACUCAGGAGGCUGAGGCAAGAGAAUUGCUUGAACCUGGGAGAUGGAGGUUGCAGUGAGCCAAGAUCAUGCCACUGCACUCCAGCCUGGAUGACAGUGAAACUCCCUCUUCAACUAGGUAAAUAAAUUAAAUAUCUAAAAAAAUUAUUUUUUAGAGACAAGGUCUCUCACUGUCACCAGGCUGGAGUGCAGUGGUAUGGUCGUAGCUCACUGUAGCCUUGAACUCCUGGGCUCAAGUGAUCCUCCCACUUCAGUCUCCAGAGUAGCUUGGCCUACAGGCAUGCACCACCACACCUGGCUAAUUGUUUUAUUUUUGUAGAGACAAGGUCUCCCUAUGUUGCCUAAGCUGGUCACAAACUCCUGGCCCCAAGCCAUCCUUCCACCAAGCCGUCCUUCCACCUUCAUCUCCCAAAGUGAGGGAAUUACAGGCAUGAGCUACUUUGCCUGGCUGACUUCUUUUAAAAUCAAUUAUUAUGGGAAAUUUCUGAAUAUAACAGCUAGAGAAUGCAUAAUGAACCCUAUGUACCCACACCCAGCUUCAACAAUAAUCAACGCAGACAUUCUGGCUCCAGCUGUCUUUACCCACAGCUGGAACCAGGGGACUCCUUCAUCCCCUUAUUAUUUCAAAGCAAGUUCCCAUCAUCACAUCAUUUCAUUCCUAAAUAACUCAGGAUGUUUCUUGAAAUCAGUGGGUUUUUGUAAUCCCAUCACUUUGGGAGGCUAAGGUGGGCAGAUCACUUGAGGUCAGGGGUUCAAGACCAGCCUGGCCAACGUGGCAAAACCCUGUCUCUACUAAAAAUAUAAAAAUUAGCUGGCAUGGUGGCAUGAGCCUGUAGUCCCAGCUACUCAGGAGGCUGAGGUAGGAGAAUUGCUUGAAUCCGGGAGGCGGAAGUUGCAGUGAGCGAAGAUCACAUCACUGCACUCCAGCUUGGGCAACAGAGUGAGACUCCAUCUCAAAACACACGAAAAGCCCAAUACAACAACAACAAAUUAGUAGGGCAUGGUAGCGUGCGGGCCUGUAGUCCCAGCUACUUGGAAGGCUGAGGCUGGAAGAUCACUUGAGCCAGGUAGGUCCAGGCUACAGUGAGCUAUGAUGGCCCCUGUACUCCAGCCUGGGCAACAGAGCAAGACCCUGUCUCCUAAAAAAGAAACAAAUCCUCCAGGAACUUCCAAUGCCUGCUAAAAAUAAGGACUCUGAAAACAUAAAGGCCAGUAAAACAUACAGGCCAGUAAGCAUUAAUAGCAUACCUAAUACUAUCAAUAAUUAUGAGAAGAUGGUCCAAGCUGAGAGUGAGACAGCUCAUCUGCCCAAGGCAGGAACAUUCUGGCAGAUGGGCAGGUCCUGGGCCCAUAGUUGUAAUCAGAGAAGGAGGAGGAGGAGGAACAGCCAGGUGGGGUGGCUGACACCUGUAAUUGGAGGAGGAGGAGGAAGAAUAGCUGGGCACUGUGGCUCAGGCCUGUAAUCCAAGGAGGAGGAACAGCCAGACGAGGUGGUUGCUGUGAUCCCAGCAAUGGAAGAGGAGGAGGAGGAUGAUUGCCAGAGGAGAAAGAGGAGGAAGAGGAGGAUUGCUCAAAACCCAGGAGUCUGAGACCAGCCUGGGCAACACAGUAAGACCCCAUUUCUAAAAAAAAAAAAAAAUUAAAGAUUAGCCAGGAAUGGUGACACAAGCCAGUCAUCCCAGCUACUCAGAAGGCUGAGGCAGGAGGAUCACUUGAGCCCGGGAGGUCGAGGCUGCAGUGAGCUAUGGUCAAGCCACUGCACUCGAGCCUGGGCAAUGGAGUAAGACUCCAUCCCAAAAAAUAAUAAAGUUUAAAAUACUAUAAGACUUACCAAGAUGUGACACAGAGACACCAAGUGAGCACAUGCUGUUGGAAAAAUGGCACCAAUACACUGGCUCAACACAGGGUUGCCACAGUCUUCUAAUAUGUUAAGAAAUGGGCCAGCCAUGGUGACUCAUGCCUGUGAUUCCAGCACUUUGGGAGGCUGAGAUGGGAGGAUUGCUUGAGUCCAGGAGUUGGAGACCAGCCUGGUCAACAGAGUGAGACCCCAUCUCAAUUGUUUAAGUAUUAUUUACAUUUUUAAAUGAAACAAAACAAAAAUAUGUUAAGAAAUGCAGUAUCUGUGAAGCACAAUAAAAUCAAGUAAAAGAAAAUGAGGCCGAGUGAGGUGGCUCACACCUGUAAUCCCAGCGCUCUAGUAGGCUGAGGCAGGUGGAUCACCUGAGGUCAGGAGUUCAAGACGAGCCAGGUCAACAUGGUGAAACCCUAUCUCUACUAAAAAUACAAAAAUUAGACUGAGCAUGGUGGCUCAGCCUGUAAUCCCAGCACUUUGGAAGACUGAGGCAGGCAGAUCAUGAUGAGGUCAAGAGAUCGAGACCAUCCUGGCCUACAUGGCAAAAUCCUAUCUCUACUAAAAAUACAAAAAUGAGCUGGGCAUAGUGGUGUGUGCCUGUAAUGCCAGCUACUCAGGAGGCUGAGGCAGGAGAAUCACUUGAACCUGGGAGACGGAGGCUGCAGUGAGCCGAGAUUGUACCACUGCACUCCAGCCUGGCAAUGGAGGGUAUGCUGCCAUGAUCCUGUAGUCUUGGCUACUCUGGAGGAUGAGGCAGGAGGAUCUGUUGAGCCCAGAGUUUGAGGCCUCAGUGAGAAUUAUGAUCACGUCACUGUACUCCAGCCUGGCUGACAGAGUGAGACCUUAUCUCAGAAAAAAAAAUUAGAAAAUGGUGUAUUCAUAAGUAUGCCAAUCUACUAGAGGCGCUAUUAAGUGGCAAGUAGUCCACAGUUGCCUACAGACUCAUUUUCCCUGGAAACUAAAGUUGGGAAUUCUAAUCAAUAUACAUAACUGACCUACUAAAUAUAAUACGGGUGAAAGAAAAUGACUCUAUGAAAAGUAUGCAAGGAAAACAGAGGGUGUUUUUUUAUAAGGAAAGGUGUGAGGUACAAAGGGCAUGUUUUCAUUAUUGAAAAAGAACCAUUUUGUCCCAAAGCAGAAUAUGAAUUGCUCCAGGAUGAGAAAGUGGAAGCUGUAGAAGGAAAGGUACCUGUAUGGAUAUAAAAUGUUUUAGAGGCUGGUCCAGUGGCUCAUGCCUGUAAUCCCAGCCCUUUGGGAGACUGAGGUGGGUGGAUUGUUUGAAUUCAGGAGUUUGAGACAAGCCUGGGCAACACAGUGAGAUCCUGUCUCUACAAAAUAUUUAAAAAUUAGCCAGGUGUGGUCAUGCACACUUGUAAUCCCGGCUACUUAGGAGGCUGAAAUGGGAGGAUCACUUGAGCCUGGGAGGCAGAGGUUGCAGUGAGCCAAGAUCACACCACCGCACUCCAGCCUGACAGGGAGACCCUGUCUCAAAAAAUAAUAAUAAAGAAAAUAAAAUUAGCUGGGUGGGGUGGCAUAAGCCUGUAGUCCUUGCUACAAAAUGCUUCAUGACAACAUAGUUUUAACUUUGAGAUCCUAUCAAUGGACUGAGUAAGAAUUCCCAGUACUCUAGUGGAGAAGCUGACAUUUCUUCUUGAUCUCGAAGAUCAAGCAGAUCAAGAUCAAGUAGAUCAAGCAGAUCAAGAAUCAUUUACAUGGGACUGAAUGAACUAAUAAAGGAUAAUUGUGGUUAUUGUUUUGGAAUAUUGCCGUUUCUUUACUAUUUUAUUUUCUUAAUAUAAGACACUCCUUGGCUGGAUGUAGUGGCUCAUGCCUAUAAUCCCAGCACUGUGAGAGGCCAAGGCUGGUGGAUUACCUGAGGUCAGGAGUUCGAGACCAGCCUGGCCAACAUGAUGAAACCCUGUCUCUACUAAAAAUACAAAAAUUUGCCGGGUGUGGCAGUGCACACCUGUAGUCCAGGAUACUCUGGAGGCUGAGGCAGGAGAAUAACUUGAACCCAGGAGAUGGAGGUUUCAGUGAGGCAAGAUUACCAUUACACUCUGGUCUAGAUGACAGAGCAAGGCUCCAUCUCAAAAAAAAAAGGAACUCCUUUCUGUUAUUACUAUAAUCUACACUCACAACAGUUUAGUAGAUUAUGCUUGUGAAAAGAUAAAUGAAACGUUUAUCUAUUUUCCUAGCUGAUCCCUCCAAAAUUCAGAAACAUUGUGCAUUAAAUCUUUUUUUUUUAAGACAGAGUCUCACUUGUUGCCCACGCUGGAGUGCAGUGGCACACUCUCAGUUCACUACAACCUCUGCCUCCCAGUGAUUUUUGUGCCUGAGAUUCCAGAGUAGCUGGGAUUAAAAGCAUGAGCCACCAUCCCUGGCUAAUUUUUGUAUUUUUAGUAGAGACGGGGUUUCACUAUGUUGGUCAGGCAGAUCUCAAACUCCUGACCUUAGUUGAUCCACCCAUCUCAGUCUCCCAACAUGAGCCACCGCACCCAGCCUCAUAAAAUCUGAUUUAAGGAACUAAGGUAGACUUUAUGGAGCCACUGCUUACAAAGCCUUCUGGGAACAAUUGCGCUGGUACCCAGCUUGCAGGUUUCCUAGCCUUACAUGUGAGUGAGGAGGACCACUUCCUGGAAGUCCCAGGAAGCUUGGGAUAUUUGGGCACCUUGAGAUGAGAGGAAUUUAUCUAAAUUCGUCACUAUAGAAGGCAAAGUCUGGCGGCAAGUUAUUGGCUUGACAUCCUAUCCUCAAGAGAUUUUUAAUUGUCAAACUCAAAAUUUCUUAUGAAAACUUCCAGUAAAGAGGCCAGGCAUGGUGGCUCAUGGCCUGUAAUCCCAGCAUUUUGAGAAGCCCAGGUGAGUGGAUCACUUGAGAUCAGGAGUUGGAGACCAGCCUGGCCAACAUGGUGAAACUCCUGAAGUGGGAGAAUCGCUUGAACCUGGUGUGUGGAGGUUGCAGUGAGCCAAGAUGGCACCACUGCACUCCAGCCUGGGUAGACAGUUAAACUGUCUCAAAAAAAAAAAAGAAAUUACUUAAGCAGAUAGUGCUUAAAGGUAAAGGAGUCCUUGGCAAGCCUCCCUUUUAACAAAAAGCAGCCCAAAUCAUUUCUUUUUUAACAAAGAGCAGCCUGAAAAACUGAGCUGUAGACAUAAAUAAUCAAACUGUUAGCUUCACGAGUGAAUGCCAGCAGCUGUGCCAAUAGGAAAGGCAAACUGGAAGCCAGGUGUGUGCAACACGGGGCUCCAUCUUCCCUUUUCUUUUUCACCACGUGUACAGUGAAGAACCAGGCAACACUGGCCAGCCGGGGUGGCUCACGCCUAUAAUCCCAGCACUUUGGGAGGCCUAGGUGGGUGGAUCAUUUGAGAUCAGAGUGCAAGACAAGUCUGACCAACAUGGUGAAACCCCAUAUCUACUAAAAAUACAAAAAUUAGCCAAUCAUGGUGGCAGACGCCUGUAAUCUCAGCUACUCAGAUGCUGAGGUAGGAGAAUCGCUUGAAUCUGGCAGACAGAAGUAGCAAUGAGCCGAGAUUGCACCACUGCUCUCCAGCCUGGGCAACAGAGCAAGACUCCAACUCAAAAAAACCCAAAAACAAGCAAAACAUCUGGCCAGGCAUGGUGGCUCACACCUUUAAUCCCAGCACUUUGGGAGGCCAAGUUGGGUGGAUCAUGAGGUCAGGAGUUCGAGACCAGCCUGACCAAAAUGGAGCAACCCUGUCUCUACUAAAAAUACAAAAAUUAGCCAGUGUGGUGACACACACCUGUAAUCCCUGCUACUCAGGAUGCUGAGGCAGGAGAAUCAUUUCAACCUUGGAGGCAGAGGUUGCAGUGAGCCGAGAUCAUGGCACUGAACUCCAGCCUGGGUGACAGAGCCAGACUCCAUCUCUAAAUAAAUAAAUAAAUAAAUAAAAUUAGCCAGGCAUGGUGUCAUGCACCUGUAAUCUCAGCUACUCAGGAGACUGAGGCAGGAGAAUCACUUGAACCCAGGAGGUGGAGGUUGCAGUGAGCCAAGAUUGUGCCAAUUGCACUUCAGCCUGGGCAACCAGAGUGAAACCCUGUCUCCAAAAAUAAAAAUAUAAAAAAGAACAAGAAUAAGAAAGAAAGGAAAGGAGCCGGGCGCAGUGACUCAUGCCUAUAAUCCCAGCACUUCGGGAGGUCAAGGUUGGAGGAACCCCUGAGGUUGGGAGUUCGAGACCAGCCUGACCAACAUGGAAAAAAACUCUGAACUAAAAACACAAAAGUAACCAGGUGUGGUGGCGCUCACCUGUAAUCCCAGCUACUCAGGAGGCUGAGGCAGAAAAAUCACUUGAACCUGGGAGGCAGAGGUUGCAGUGAGCUAAGGCUUAUUGCACGUCAGCCUGGGCAACAAGAGUGAAGCUUCGUCUCAAAAAGAAAAGAAAAGAAGAAAAGAAAGGGAAGUACAAUUGGAAGAGACCCAAGAGGGCACCGAGGUCAAGUGUGGUAUUUAGCCCUGAUCCUAGGACUUUAUAGGCUGGACUCUUUCCCAUGAUUCCUUCCUUAGGGUGGGCUGCUGCACUGGGCAGGGGAGCACCUACCAUGUGUUUAGAAACUUGUGUGCAUGCCCAUCUGAGACUAUCUUCCCUUUUCUGGUGGUGUGCCCCCAGAAUGUCAUACUCCACCAUUUUGUCUUUUUUUUUUUUGGAGAUGAAGUCUUGCUCUGUCACCCAGGCUGGAGUGCAGUGGUGCAAUCUCAGCUCACUGCAACCUCCGCCUCCCGGGUUCAAGUGGUUCUCCUGCCUCAGCCUCCUGAGUAGUUGGGAUUACAGGCACAUGCCACCACAACCAGCUAAUUUUUGUAUUUAGAGAUGGGGUUUCACCGUGUUGGCCAGGCUGGUCUUCAACUCCUGACCUCAUGAUCUACCCACCUUGGCCUCCCAAAGUGUUGGGAUUACGGGCAUGAGCCACCACGCCUGGCCCAUUUUGUCUUUUAAUGCACAUAGCUGGGCUUACUUGUCCAAUACCUGACAUUUUAUUGGAAGCCCCUUUUUGCUUCUCCCUAGUGCCUGCAUUCAAUUCACACUUUAAUGCAACAGGUGUGGACCAUCAGGCAAUGCUUCUUCCUGGCACCAGCUGCCAAUUUAUCAAGAGCAAAACUUCGUCUCAAGCAAAACAAAAUAAAACUUUCAGCUGGGUGUGGUGGUGAGCACCUAUGGUCCCAGCUACUCAGGAGGCUAAGGUGGGAGGACCACCAGAUCCCAGGUGGUUGAGGCUGCAGUGAGCCAUGAUUGCGCCACUGCACUCCAGCCUGGGCAGCAGAGUGAGAUCCUGUCUCAAAAUAAAAGGAAGUGAAUCAUGAAGGCCAGACCAUGUUCAAGGUGGGGAGGAAUUAGACUGCACCCUAUGAGGGGUGUCUAAAAAUCUGCAGACAUGUUUUAGAACCACUGCAUGUUUAGGAUCACAUUUCAUUCUUUUAGUGUUACCAAAACACCAGGGUUCAGCCUAGGUCCAGCUGCUGGCCUCAAGAGCCAAUCAUUGAGACAAUGAUUAUUGCCAAGGAAGAAGGCUUUAAUUGGGUGCUGCCGCUGAGGAGAGAGGAGGUCAGUCUCAAAUCCAUCUCCCUGACUACUAAAAUUAGGGCCUUUACAGCAGGGAAGAAAUGCAACUAUGUGUGGGAAAACAGAAACUCAGGAGGGGUAAGGAAGCAAUCAUGAUGAAUGAGGGGUCUGGAGUCUCAUUAUGAGGAUGUCAUGAUCUGAUGAGCUUCAGUUCUUUGACAAUCUCUGAGAGGCUUGGGGGACUUUCCUGAGGAACGAACCCAGGUAAAAUAAAUGUAAGUUUCAAGCUUCAUAAUAAAAAGUGUCAAUUUCUUUCUUUUUUUUUUUUUUUUUGAGACAGAGUCUCACUCUGUCACCUAGGCUAUAGUGCAGUGGCACGAUCUCAGCUCACUGCAACCUCUGCUUCCCAGGUUCCAGCAAUUGUCCUGCCUCAGCCUCCUACAUAGCUGGGAUUACAGGCUCCCACCACCAUGCCCAGCUAAUUUUUGUAUUUUUGGUAGAGAUAGGGUUUCACCAUUUUGCCCAGGCUGGUCUUGAACUCCUGACUUCAGGGCAUCUGCCCGCCCCGGCUUCCCACAGUGCUUGAUUACAGGUGUGAGCCACUCACCUGGUCAGGACUUGUUUUCUUAAUCCCUGUGCUAUAGAAAUUAUACUAGACAGAAACAUAAAGGAGAUUUUUGUUUGUUUUUGUUUUGUUUUGAGACCUAGUCUUGCUCUGUUGCCAAGGCUAGAGCGCAGAAGCACAGUCUUGGCUCAUUGCAACCUCCGCCUUCAGGGUUCAAGUGAUUCUUCUGCCUCAGCCUCCCAAAUCGCUGGAAUUACAGGAGCCUGCCCAACACGCAGCUAAUUUUUGUAGUUUUAGUAGACACAGGGUUUCACCAUGUUAGUCAGCUGGUCUCAAAUUCCUGACCUCAGGUGAUCUGCCCGUCUGGCCUACCAAAGUGCUGGGAUGACAGGUGUGAGCCACCGUGUCUGGCUGGGAUUGUUAGUAAGCACUUUUUGUUUUUUUGAGACAGAGUUUCCCUCUUGUUGGCCAGGCUGGAGUGCAAUGGCACAACAAUCUCGGCUCACUGCAAUCUUCGCCUUACGGGUUCAAGUGAUUCUCCUGCCUCAGCCUCCCAAGUAGCUGGAUUACAUGCAUGCACCACCAUGCCUAGCUAAUUUUUUGUAUUUUUAGUACAAAAAUACAAAAAGUUUUUGUAUUAAAAUUUUUACCAUGUACCAUUUUAUACUAAAAAUUUAACAUGGGAUUUUACCAUGUUAGCUAGGCUGCUCUCAAACUUCUGACCUCAGUUGAUCUGCCCGCCUUGGCCUCCCAAAGUGCUGGGAUUGCAGGUGUGAGCCACUGCACCUGGCCUUUUUUUUUUUUUUUUUUUAAAGAGACAGCAUCUCAUUCUGUCGCCCAGACUGGAGUGCAGUGUUGCUCACUGUAACCUCAAAUCUUAAGGCCCAAGCGAUUCUUCCACCUCAGCCUACUGAGGAGCUGGGACUACAGGCACGUGCCAUGCUGCCUAGCUAAUUUUUGUAGAAAUGUGAUCUCGCUGUGUUACCCCAGCUGGUCUUGAAUUACUGGGCUCAGGCAAUCCUCCCACCUUGGCCUCCCAAAGUGUUGGGAUGACAGGCACAGCCAUGGCUUCUGGCCAAUAAGCAUUCUUACGCAGUGUUUACUAAGUGCCAAGCACUACCCCAAGCACUUUUCUGAGGACUGUAUAUGUUUAUGGGAAAAAGCCCAUGGCAGAGGCCCCAGGAGACAGGCCUGCCUGGAGGACUGGGUUGGGAGUGGGAAGCAGGCCCCCUCAGGACCAGGGAGCCUCCAGGAAAGAGCCCCUUCUCCCAAGGGUGCAGAGUUAAGGCUCCUGCUUGGUUGAAAGGUCCAGGGGACAAUCCUGAGUGGAACACUGUGACUGUCAUUCUGAUUGUCCCCCUACAAGGCACCAUGGACUCCAGCAUCCAGAGAAUGAAAAUAAUAAUAAAUUAAAGCAGCCCAGGGCAUCUGCAGCCACAGUGUCAGACAGGAGGCCAUGCCUCAGGGCCUGGGACCAACAGCAGCCUGGCCUGCUGCCGAAAAAUAGUAGCCCUGACUGCAGGGGCCAGUGGCAGCCACCACUGGGGGCCCAGACUCUGGGGGUGCUCUUGCAUGCAUGUGUGUGUGUGCAUGUGCGCAGGAGUGCACAGAUGACAUUUUGAGACACCUGGAUCUAUCUAGGAGGUAUCUGAGGGGUACUCAGACUUCUGCAGAAAAGGUGGGACAGACCUGGAGAAGCAGUAUUUUGUAACUUUGGAGCCUGUGCUCCUCAGUGCCCGAAGUCCAGAGGGGACCAAAGCAGCAGGGGGCUGGUGUGUCAGUGCUGCCCCAAGUGUGCACAUACCCAGCUGGGCCGUGACAGCAUGUGGGCUCAGCCCCAACCUUGCUCCAAGAUUGGAGUGGGCACUGGGAGUGUGCAGAGACCUGGUAGCAAGAGCAGACACAGCAGAGCCUAUGGGAGGAGGGCCUUCCUGGGCCCCUGAGAGUGCAGAGAUGCCCAGUCCACAGCCACAGCUUGAGUGGCUGCAGUUGUGCCUGGAAAGGUGGGGCUCCUGCCUGCUUCAGGCCCCACUGGCUCCGCGGAGUUUGCAGCCUCGGCUGCACCUCUCCUACUGCAACUGGCAGCAUGUCAGCUGCCACUCUAGAUGGGCCACUGCUGCCAUCAUUAUGACCCAGGGUAAAAUAAUCAAGACAUCUUUAAUCCAGCUACAUGAAUUGUCUUGCCCACUUUUUAAACUAGUUAUUUGUUGUCGUCUAUAUAACCACUGAUACUAAUGCUGAAUAAUUUCAUGACUGAUGAGGUCCUAUAAAGGUAGAUAUAUUUUAUAAAUUUUAUAUACCAUGGCUUCUAUUUCUUAAUAUUAUUUUUUUCAUUAGUAGUCAUUUCAAGAAAUCAGAAUGUGUCAUCAGUCAAUUUAACAUUAAAGUAACUUUUCUUUUUGUCCUGAGAAGGCAGAAAUGUCAAUGCCAAGGGUACUACACAAAAAAAACAAAAAUCACAUAAACUCCCCCACCCCACACUUUUUUUUUUGAGAUGGAGUCUCACCCUGUCACCCAGGCUGGAGUGUAAUGGCGGGAUCUCAGCUCACUGCAACCUCUGCCUCCCAGGUUCAAGCCAUUCUCUUUCCUCAGCCUCCCAAGUGGCUGGGAUCACAGGUGUGUGCCACCACACCCAGCUAAUUUUUUGUAUUUUUAGCAGAGACGGGGUUUCACCAUGUUGGCCAGACUGGUCUUGAACUUCUGCCCUCGUGAUCCACCUGGCUUGGCCUUCCAAAGUGCUGGGAUUACAGGCAUGAGCCACCACACCCGGCCAAUAAAUUCCCCUUUCAAGGGCAAAACUGCAUAUGACCCUUGGCCAUAUUAAGUUGUCCACAUCAGAUAAAAAAUAAAUAGGAUAAGAAAUAAAACAAAAAGUGGACUGGUGUAAAAUUGUUGCUUGUCAACAUUAGAGAGUGCAUUUUAUAUCAAGAAACUCAUAAAGAAUAGACAACGGCUUAGCUCUUCUAGCCAGCAAAUUUUUGUCCUAGCUGACGCUAAAAGCUCCCAAUAUUUGGAAAUAGCUUUUCCCCUUCUCUUUUGUGGGCAUUUUUUGAUUGCUAACAAUAAUAGCUUUUUCUUGUGCUUAAGUGAAUCAAAUCUGUUUGAUUUUAUCCUGAAUUGCCCACACAUCAAUUACAAAUUCUUGGCUCAAGGAAACUCUGAUACUGACUCUACUGUUCCUGCUAAUGUCAUAUGUAAAUCAGGAAGGCUGGCCCUUUAAUUUUCUCGUAUCUUACAGAUUUUAACCUGUGCUAAAAUCACUCAUGGUUAAUCUACCCAUCUUGUCCACAAAAGGUCUCCCAGACUUUCCAGACCCACAGCAUGACCAAAGCUCAAAUUAAUCCAUUGUGUUAUCUGCCAAAACCCCAAAGAAAAUUGUACCUAAUGGAUCAUUAAACCAUGUUAGGUUUGUAUUAUUUAGCUCAUGAACAUUGAAUCAUAUUUAAGUAAAGUGCAGCCCUGAAAAUAUUUUAAAGACUUUUAGGACUGGACGCAGUGGCUCAGGCCUGUAACCCCAGCACUUUGGAAGGCCAAGAUUGGUGGAUCACGAUGUCAGGAGUUUGAGACCAGCCUAACCAACAUGGUGAAACCCUGUCUCUACUAAAAAUACAAAAAAUUAGCUGGGCAUGGUGGCACACACCUAACCUCCAGCUACUCAGGAAGCUGAGGCAGGAGAAUCACUUGAACCCAGGAAGCGGAGGUUGCAUUGAGCUGAGAUUAUGCCACUGUGCUCCAGCCUGGGUGACAGAGCGAGACUUUGUCUCAAAAAAAAAAAAAAAGAAUUUUAGCUUGUUGCUUAGUGUGUAUAUACACAUACACACACACGCAAAACAGUGUGUUAAAAUAAAUUAUUUCAUAUGAAUGCAGGAAAAUCGUAAUUGUUUUGGUCAAUUGAUCAUUUUGCAAAGCAUGUGAAUUCAGACCAUUAUAGGAAGUUAUUAACAUAAAUUAAGAGGGUAACAGUUAACUCUUUUUUUGUAAAGGUGAUUUUUUAAAAGGCUUGUCACAUAAUUCUGAAGGAAUGGUACUCACUGAAUUCAUGUUUCCUCUACUUCAAAUAGUGCUAUUAAUAUCCAUGUGGAAAUUACAGAGUGAAGGGAAUAACCAAAUCAACAACGGUAACAUCCUGUACUCCCGAAUAAUUGAUAUCAUCAGUCCUUUAGAGCCAUAUUCUCAGCCCAGGAAACUCGCAAAUUACACUGUGAAGUUGUGAAUAAAUGAUUAGAAAUGAUGUAGGAGAUUCUGAAAACUAGCUCUGAUGACUUAGGCAAAGAUCCUAGAAAAGCUAUCCUCAGUUUAAAAUACAAAGAAAAAGUGGACCCUGAAAGGAAAACUUAGUCUUUUAAAUAAUCAUUAAUAAUGAUGAUAGGCUGGGCACAGUGGCUCACCUGUAAUUCUAGCACUUUGGGAGGCCAAGGUGGGUGGAUCACUUGAGCCCAGGGUUCAAGACCAGCUUGGGCAACAUGGGGAAACCCCAUCUCUACAAAAAAUACAAAAAUAUUUAGUUGAGCAUGGUGGUGCAUGCUAUAUUCUCAACUACUCAGGAGGCUGAGGCAGGAGGAUCGCUUGAGCCCAAGAGGUUGAGGCUGCAGUGAGUGCUGAUCCACUACUGCAGUCCAGCCUGGGCGACAGAGUGAGAUCUUGUCUUAUCAUCAUCAUCAUCAUCAUCAUCGGCUGGGUGUGGUGGCUCACGCUUGUAAUCCCAGCACUUUGAGAGGUUGAGGCGGGCUGAUCAUGAGGUCGCGAGAUCGAGACCAUCCUGCCUAACACGGUGAAACCCUGUCACUACUAAAAAUACAAAAAAUUAGCCAGGCAUGGUGGCAGGCACCUGUAAUUCCAGCUACCUGGGAGGCUGAGGCAGCUUGAACCCAUGAGCUGAGAUCAUGUCACUGCACUCUGGCCUGGGUGACAGAGUGAGACUCUCUCAAAAAAAAAAAAUAGUGACAUCAGGAUCACUGGACUUACUUCCAGUGUCACUAUGGUUCUGUUAUUCUGGAGAAAAUGACUCUUGUUUCUCAUUUCCAACAGAAUACAUCCAUAAUAAUAGGCUAGAGUGCAUUGGAGAAAUUAUUUUGAACACCUGGAUCUUAGGCAAAAACAUUCUCUUUGCUAAACUGUGUAAUUCUUGGAAUCUUGGAUGUCAGCACACCCAGCACUGCGAUGCUCUGCACACCGCGUGCGAUGGUGUUUGUAAUUCUAACACUGUGUUGGAACGAGCUGACAUUGUAGUAGCAGGGGACAUUACUAGCUAACACUUGCUUAUUCUGGAAUCUGCCUCUUGGGAUCUUAAAUUUUUAUUUGUCAGAAACAAAUAUAAUCGGGAAAAUUAUAUAAAUGGACUUCUGAAAACUAAAUGCAGUCAUCAAAUUCUGAAAUACACGUGUCUAGAGUGUGUGCAUGUGAUAGAUUCUAGGUGCUGAAAUAACUGUUGCAUUUACUCUGUUUCAUUAAUUGCUAUUUUCAGAAGUAAGUUUUGAAGUGUUUAAUAAGCAAUUUAGAACUCCAGAGACCAUGCAUUAGGACACUGGAAAAUCUGUAAGGAAUUGGAGCAACUUGUUUUUGAAGAAUGAUUUAUGUUAAUACGGAGCUGUAAAACUAUCUUUGUGAAAGCUGUUGUGAUGGCUUUAUUUUUCUUCAUCUUUCCCAAUGAGAAUAGCAGUUUUAUGUCCACAUUGGCUUCUUGCUCCUAUCAAUGACAUUGUAGCUUUAUGAGAACUUCAUUUUGUCUUGUUGUGGUUCUUUACCACACCAAAAUAAAUGCAGAUGAUUUUCUGUUGGCA